AACUUGUACGUACGAGGCACGCACGUGAAUCAUUUGUACUUUUGUCUUCAGAUCUGGCAGGAAAUAAAUCUAUCUUUGGAUACCCUUCUUCCCGCAGGCGACAAGGGUGAGCAUCUGCCGGACGGCUAUGAAAGUUUUUUCUUGAUGGUUUGCAAAAAGAAGCUUGAUCAUCUGCUGAGUUGCUAGGCUUCCUGGCAGAAAAUUGAUAAGACAGAAUCCAAGGUUUCUCGUGUAAUCGCAAUUGAGGAUUGAUUCCAAAUCAUUUAACGGCGUGGACUCGGGUGAAUGCUGGAUGUAAAUUCUAUAAGCGUCCUCACACAGCUGGUUUCCUGCGAGUAUGAAGUCAGGGAGGAAGAAGAAGAGAGGGAAGAAAUAAUAUAGUAAUAUUUACCUUCCCCAGCUCUCAGAAAUGUUGGGAAUGAUGCGAUGAAGAAUCCCCACCUUAUGCGGCAUUGGUGAUCAACAAUUUAAAAGUUUCAUCGGAUCUCAUUCGUUAAGAAAGGAACAAUUUAAGAAAGACGGUGACUGAAAUUAAGGGUAUUAACUUUGUUGAAAGUGUCGAAGUUGCUAAAGUGCAAAAAUUCAAGAGUUCUCUCGUAGUGUCGUGCGCUAUUUUCUUUGGUUUGGUAGCGGCUAGAAUGAAGCAAUGUACUGCAUUAUUUGAAAUGCAGAAGACAUCUGCUAUGCUAUGUAAUGAUGUAAAUUGAUGUUUAAAUGGAAGACAUGCCUUAUAUAAUGGUGUAAUUUCUGCUAUAUUAUUAUGCAUUUUAGCUGCU